rnacentral:rRNA from 1 species
GACGAACGCUGGCGGCGUGCUUAACACAUGCCAGUCGAACGAAGAGCGACGGAAGCUUGCUUCUAUCAAUCUUAGUGGCGAACGGGUGAGUAACGCGUAAUCAACCUGCCCUUCAGAGGGGGACAACAGUUGGAAACGACUGCUAAUACCGCAUACGAUCUAACCUCGGCAUCGAGGAUAGAUGAAAGGUGGCCUCUACAUGUAAGCUAUCACUGAAGGAGGGGAUUGCGUCUGAUUAGCUAGUUGGAGGGGUAACGGCCCACCAAGGCGAUGAUCAGUAGCCGGUCUGAGAGGAUGAACGGCCACAUUGGGACUGAGACACGGCCCAGACUCCUGCGGGAGGCAGCAGUGGGGAAUCUUCCGCAAUGGAGGAAAGUCUGACGGAGCAACGCCGCGUGAGUGAUGACGGCCUUCGGGUUGUAAAGCUCGGUUAAUCGGGACGAAAGGCCUUCUUGCGAAUAGUGAGAAGGAUUGACGGUACCGGAAUAGAAAGCCACGGCUAACUACGUG